UCAGUUUGUAUUGUUUCGCUCCGACCGUUAUACCCUUAAUCAAAUGGUCCCUUCUUAUCAUAUUUAACAAAACCUCCAGAACAGAAAUAAAAAGCAAUGGGGAAAUUGGGCAGCCUUGUCGUGUCCCUUUCUCUAUCUUAAUUUCCUCUGUUAUCACAUUAUUAACUAUUAAUUUAGCUUUUUGUUCUGAAUAAAUUGCAUUUAUACCAUUUUCAAACUCUUGGCCUACCCCCAUCCCCUGGAGAUUUUUCUUCAUAAAGCUCCAAGAAAUAUUAUCAAAGGCUUUCUCUGCGUCCACAAAAAUCAAAACUGCUUUAGUAUUAAUCUCCUCUU